CAGCUGAAGGCCAAGCACUAAUCAAAGUGGUCAGAUUGGGGGAGGUGAAACAGCAAAGAGAAGUUGUAUUGGUAGACCUCCCCCAGCCACAACAGGAGUCCUACAAAGUGCUCGAUAAAAAAGAAAAUAUGAACAAUUAAUGACGAACAAAAAGCACAAUUCAAAAUUUUGAUCUAUAUAAUUCUAAGGAUCACACAGAUCUAAAGGAGAGAAGAUCAGUAGCCAUCUUGUCCUUCAUCCUGCUCCCAUUUUAUAGAUGAGGAAACUGAGUACCAGAGAAAUAAAAGGACUUGUUUAAUAUCAUAGCAAGUUGGAAAGGAAACCAAGAAGAAAAUGGUGUGACAGGCAAAUGGAGGCCAAUUGGCAGUGCAACAGCGGAGAGUGGAGAGAAAGGGAAGAAAGAUGCUUUGGAUGAGUCGCUGGUAGUCAUACCCACUCCAUUCUUCUGGUUUAAUUAAGCCUGUUCUCUCCAGUCCAUUCUCACUGACUCAUCUAAUAAAGUCUUAUCACCACUUUGCUUCUGUUCCUUA
rnacentral:lncRNA from 1 species